GUUCAGCCACCAGCCAGCCGCUUCAUUGUAUAGGUGAUUCAAAUGGCUGAUGAGGAUAGAAAUUUAAUCGAGAUCUUGGAAGCGAAUAGCCCAAUAGACUUCAACAAAUAUAUUGGUUAUGUUAGUUCUCCUAAAUGUGGAGCUAUAGCAACAUUUGCUGGUACAACGCGUGAUACAUUUGAUGGUAAAGAAGUUUUAGAAUUACAGUAUGAAGCAUAUGUUCCAAUGGCAGUACGUUGUCUUAAAUCUCUCUGUUCUUCUGCGCGAUCAUCGUGGGAUAUCCACUCGAUAGCAGUUGCUCACUGCUUGGGUACUGUUCCUGUUGGAGAGACUAGUGUAUUUGUUGCAAUCUCGUCUGUCCAUCGAGCAGAUGCAUUGGAUGCUUGCAAGUUUCUGAUUGAUGAGCUUAAAGCAUCAGUUCCGAUAUGGAAGAAGGAGGUAUAUACAAAUGGAGAGGUGUGGAAAGAGAAUAAAGAGUUUAUUGAGAGGAUGCCAGAGCUUGGGAAUGCAUCACAUGAUCAAGACGGAGCUUGCUCUGGUAAAAAGAAAGUGGAGGCACACGAGAGAAAGAGCUGCUGUGGAACGAAGGUUAAAGUCAAUGACGAGUCUGCAGAUUCUUCUAGGUAGCUUUGAGGCACAUGUUGUAUUUCAUUCAAACCCGAAAACUAACAAAAUGGUUAGUUCAUCCCUCUUUGUUGUGUGUGCAAUACCAAUUAUUACAUACUCUAGCACAUCAGAUUUAUAGCUGAAGGCAG
rnacentral:misc_RNA from 1 species